rnacentral:rRNA from 1 species
GUAACCUUCCCUUAACUCUGGGAUAAGCCCGGGAAACUGGGUCUAAUACCGGAUACGACCAGUCCUCGCAUGGGGUGCUGGUGGAAAGAUUUAUCGGUUUUGGAUGGACUCGCGGCCUAUCAGCUUGUUGGUGAGGUAAUGGCUCACCAAGGCGAUGACGGGUAGCCGGCCUGAGAGGGUGACCGGCCACACUGGGACUGAGACACGGCCCAGACUCCUACGGGAGGCAGCAGUGGGGAAUAUUGCACAAUGGGCGAAAGCCUGAUGCAGCGACGCCGCGUGCGGGAUGACGGCCUUCGGGUUGUAAACCGCUUUCAGCAGGGAAGAAGCGAAAGUGACGGUACCUGCAGAAGAAGCGCCGGCUAACUACGUGCCAGCAGCCGCGGUAAUACGUAGGGCGCGAGCGUUAUCCGGAAUUAUUGGGCGUAAAGAGCUCGUAGGCGGUUUGUCACGUCUGCUGUGAAAGCCCGGGGCUCAACCCCGGGUGUGCAGUGGGUACGGGCAGACUAG